AUUUCUCUGAGAUGUUUGCAAGCGGGCCAGUCCCCUGAGCCGAUAUUUCAUACCACAAGAAUGUGGCGCUCCGCGGUUGGUGAGCAUGCUCGGUUCGUCCGAGAAGCCUUAAAACUGUGACGACACAUUCACAUUGAACCAAGGGUUCAAGGGUUACAGCCUGCGGCGGCAUCUCGGAGAUUCC
rnacentral:other from 2 species